GCAUGCGAAGUGCCCAGCAAGAGCACCUACAAGUGGAGUCAAAGGGCACAGGGUGAGGCUCCCCACCCGUCUAGCUGGACUCUCUAGCCCCAGGGACAUCCUGCUCCUCAGGGCAGGUGUGUGGCCCUGGAUGGGCCCCGCUGUGGGGCUGUGGGGCAUGCGGGGCUGAUCUGCCAGAGCCCUUCCCACCUGGUGCCUGGCCCAGGCGCUGGCUGGCACCCAGUGGCCAUGUCUUGGCUGGCCUUGUCCCCGGGGUUACAGGGCCAGACCCUGCUGGAAGCAGAGCUCAGGACUAGCCAGAUCCAGCCAGGCUCCCCUAGGGCCUCAGCGCCCCUCUGCCGCCUGGAGCCAGGCCCACCUUCUCCGUUGUGGUCCUGGCCUCUCCAGGCAGAUUUCAGGAGAGGAUGCGUGCCCCAGCUUGACUGGCUGCUGCCCCUUACCACUUCCCUUCCUGGCAGGCAGGGUCUCCACACAGCUCCAGGUCACCCCACACAGAGGAAACUGGGCCCCAGCACCUGCCCCGGAAAGGGCUGAUGAGCCAGGGCUGGGGCCUAUCUCCCACAGAACCCUCGCCCCUCUCCUGAGCCUGUCCUCGACACUAAGCCUGGUGUUGGUUUGUGCCCUGAAGCCUCCUGCCCACCCCACAGAUGGCCUGGGAGCUGGGCAUGGAAUCCUCUGCGCACUCUCACCCCGCCUGCCCUGCCCUGCCCUGAGGGACCAUGAGAUUUCCCAUCACAGGAGCGUCUUUCCUUGCUUAGGAAAAGUGGAAACGAGGGGAGGAAAACAAGAGAGAGUCUUUCUCUGUGGGGCAGGGGUGAGGGUGGGUCACUGGGGAGGUGGGGGAGUAAUAGGAAGAGGAGCCCCAGGACACACACCCCAGUGAGGGUAAGAUCCAUCACCCAGGGAGUGGAGCUGUGGCUCAGCCACGUGGCAGUAGGGCUCUUCAGACCAAAGAGCAUUUUUCCCAUCUGAAGUGCAAUGUCUCGUCUUCAAGCAACUGAGCCUUGGGCAUCCCCUUUGGGACUAGGGACUGGGGCCCAGGCCUGCAUCACAUAGCUGGGGCCUCCUCCUCACAAAGGGCUCCUGGGUGCAGGGGAGGGGCAUUGGGAGGAGGAGGCUGAAGCACAGCCCCUCCCUUAGAUCCCAGCCCUGGGACCCUCCACCCCCCUGGGUCUCCCAGAUCCUACUUCAGCAACUCACCCUGUCAGAGACAGGUCUGGGUCUGUUUUCUAUUCUGUCCCCUGGGACACCGGUGUCACCUUGUUCUCCUUGUCCCCUUAGAGAUCUAGGCCUGAGCCCACCCAUUUCAUAGCCUUUGAAAGUCUGAAAUUCUCCUAGGAAUUCAGAUAGUUUCUUAAAGAUUAUUUCAGAAUCUCCUCUGUUCUCAUAAUUUCCCCACACCCUACAUUUUCUACUUUCAUCAACCUAGAAUAGAGCUUUGAAAUUCACAGAACUAAAAAGUAUAAUGAAAAUACAAACAAACCUCCAAAUGACAUUUUUUUAGUUAGGAACAUAAUUUUGAGUUACCCAAUUAUGGAGCUUGCUGUAAAAAAAUCACAAAAAUACAAACACUUUGACAAAUUAUGUUUAAAACAAGAAUUAAGCCUUUACUUAUUGUCCUUAGAUCUUUUGUAUGUUGCUCUGAUCCAUUUCUUCUUACUCUGCCCCAAAUACAGUCCUCACUGUCCUGGGUUUUGGAACAUGUGCGCUCCCACCAUAAGCCAGGAGUGGCUUGGGAUGAUCUGAGGUCUAGCUUCUGCGGAGGAAACAACUCCUGAGACUCACUGCCAACGCCACCAGCGUCACUCCUCUGGCGAUGCUCCCCGCCUGGCGUUACAAAACUCCCGCUUGUCUUCCUGAGCCUGCAGGUUCUGAGUGUCUCGAACCUGUCCCUUACCCUGCCCACUCCCAGGCCUCCCGUUAGACAUUCUCCUUCGGUGGGAAUGGCCCCGGUGUCUGUCCCGGUCACUGUUCCUAGCUCUCCUGUGUUCCCGUUCCCACGGUUCCCUGUGCUGCCAAUCCUCCCGUCCUCCCUGGGGAUGAUCCUUACACUCCUGCUUCACUCUGACUGUUGAGUGGUGAGGACUUCGGUUCCUCUUACUCUGAGCAGACUUGCUUCUUCUCCCUGGGGACUUGUUUUUCUUUUUGGGUGGGGACCGGCUAACUCCUUGGGCUCGGUUCCCGCGGUGGCCCGGGCGGCCCGGCGAGGUGGCUACAGCCGCCGAGCGGUCUGGACGACAGUGGGCGGGAGGAGCGGCUUCUGGGCUCUCUCACUAAACCACCCACUCCCUGGUGAUAGACAGUGUCUGGGCUUAAUUUCUCUCUUUAAGAUAAUUGGAGUGUACUGUACAGCGGGCAGAGGGAUCGGUGGUGGGGGUCCCCAAGACUACCCUCAAGUUCAGGGACACUUCAGAAAAACUUGCAGAAUUCAGAAAAGCUAUUCUACACAUGGUUAUAGUUCAUGACA